CUUCAGCAUCAUCUGGAACACUGCACGUUUUCUCUCUCUGGAGCAGCUGAAGCAGCAGGUCCAAGAAGCUUCCAGCCAUCAGAGGCACCAUGAGGACCACUGGCACCAGGUGACACCUCCCGGUGGGAGCAAGAAGACUUUUCACAUGAACCUAAAGUGAAAGAAGUGCCAUAUUUGACUGAGGCAGGAAUAAGUGACAGCCCAAGCUGAUUCAGGGCCAUAUACAGCAUUUCUUGGGGGCAUCCAGGAAUACUUUAGGGUGGUAGGGAUGCAUGAGAGCCAAAUUUCCUGCAAGUGGGAUCUAAGAAUUAUUGUUAGUAUUGCUACAACUUUGAAUAAGAAGUCCCACAAGAUACUGGAUGAUACAAGACUGAACAAGAGAAUGUAAAUAAAAGAAGGGUUGAGUCACAUAAAUAUCUCCUUCCUGGUCAAUUGAAAAUGGGAAUCUUGGAAGCUUUUCCUUUUCAACUAAGGAAUACUGCGCACCUGGAUCAUUCCACCGCACCUGCAGGG